rnacentral:lncRNA from 1 species
GUGAAAUUUUGCUCAAGAAAAAAUACACUAUUUUAAAAGUAACUCUAAAAAUUAAAGACGCAAUUCAUAGUUCCUACCUUUGGAUCUUUUAUGGGUCAUUUGCUUCCAUUUCAUCCACAAGAGAUUCUUGUGACCUUUGCUUUUCUCUCGAGAAGCAUCACCCUGAGUGUAGCCCUAUCUCUCCUAUAAACUUUGAACUGCCUGCAAAAUUGCCAUCACUAGGUUUUUUCCCAGUAAAAUAAUUUAUAUGUACAUGCCCUUUUUUGUUAGAUGAGUGAGAAUACACAAGGCAGUAUUUAUUGAGCAACCACUAUUCACUAGGCCAUAUUGUAGGGGCAGUGAAGAUAAUUCGAGGCAGACUACUAAGUAUUUGUCCUUGUGGAUAAUAUAUUCCAGCAUGGAAAGACAGACAAAUAAAUAAGGAAGAAUUACUGUGGAUGCAGGCAAUAUUCAUAUUUAUACCUUUUUUUCUGAAUAACCUGGAGAAGUUAGUGUGCUUCCAAGUACAGUAUUAAUUCAACCCUGCUUAACCAGUUUUGGUUAGGAUACUUCUCCCUGGAACAUGAAGAUCUGCUGAUUGCUUAUAAUCCAGUAUUUAAUAACUAGAUAGCAGGUCAUUUCUACCCAAAUAUGCCUGUCUUCAAACUCUUCCUGGUGCCUCAAGACUCCCUAAACAUUAGGAUCUUAUUCCAGUAAAUUGAUGCAAACCAAAGUUGAUGUUUGUUAGGUUUUAUUCCUGGCUGAUGAGAUGCCUAGGAAAACAC